rnacentral:rRNA from 1 species
UUAGAAGCUUGCUUCUAUGACGUUAGCGGCGGACGGGUGAGUAACACGUGGGCAACCUGCCUGUAAGACUGGGAUAACUUCGGGAAACCGAAGCUAAUACCGGAUAGGAUCUUCUCCUUCAUGGGAGAUGAUUGAAAGAUGGUUUCGGCUAUCACUUACAGAUGGGCCCGC